CGUUUAAUGCAAUAAAUACCAUAUGUAUAUUCUUUAAAGCUUCACGUUCGUAAAACGGAUUAUAGGUUUUCGAUUCCGCUCACCGACACCAGAUCGUUUUUCAAAUAUGUAUGGGUAAACGCCCUGUACAUAUAUAUAUAUUGAGCGUUAUUCAUCGCGUACAAAAUAUUUCAACGAACACUAUUGAAAGGGCGUUACGGGAAGCUUUCAAAAUCCCGACA